rnacentral:rRNA from 1 species
UAGGGAAUCUUCGGCAAUGGGGGCAACCCUGACCGAGCAACGCCGCGUGAGUGAAGAAGGUUUUCGGAUCGUAAAGCUCUGUUGUAAGAGAAGAACGUGUGUGAGAGUGGAAAGUUCACACAGUGACGGUAACUUACCAGAAAGGGACGGCUAACUACGUGCCAGCAGCCGCGGUAAUACGUAGGUCCCGAGCGUUGUCCGGAUUUAUUGGGCGUAAAGCGAGCGCAGGCGGUUUAAUAAGUCUGAAGUUAAAGGCAGUGGCUUAACCAUUGUUCGCUUUGGAAACUGUUAAACUUGAGUGCAGAAGGGGAGAGUGGAAUUCCAUGUGUAGCGGUGAAAUGCGUAGAUAUAUGGAGGAACACCGGUGGCGAAAGCGGCUCUCUGGUCUGUAACUGACGCUGAGGCUCCAAAGCGUGGGGAGCAAACAGG